UACGGGGGGGGCAAGCGUUGUUCGGAAUUACUGGGCGUAAAGGGCUCGUAGGCGGCCAACUAAGUCAGACGUGAAAUCCCUCGGCUUAACCGGGGAACUGCGUCUGAUGCUGGAUGGCUUGAGUGUGGGAGAGGGAUGCGGAAUUCCAGGUGUAGCGGUGAAAUGCGUAGAUAUCUGGAGGAACACCGGUGGCGAAGGCGGCAUCCUGGACCAUUACUGACGCUGAGUGAGCGAAAGCCAGGGGAGCAAACGGG
rnacentral:rRNA from 1 species